UUAUCAUUCAUUCAUAUUUCAUGUCAUAAUUCAAAUUUCAAAGUAUUAGCAUGACAAAAUAUUUUGUCAUGAGUAUUAGCAAAUUUAAUCCGUCGUUGCCGGUCAGAGUUAUGUUCUUAAUCGUCAAAUUCUCGAAUUAUUUAUCUUUUCAUUACUUUACCGUAUUUACCUGAAUAAAAAUGUCUUCAGAUGAAUCUAGCCUGCGCUCUGCAGCAUAUUGGAAUUGGAAAAUAUUUUGGACAUUCAUAUAGCGAUCAGUGCAAGGGGAAAUCAUGCGUCCAGUUUUAUAAAGUCGCCAGUAUGCAGGGUCACUUUGACUUGUAUGUAGUCGGUAUAGGAAUUCCCAACUUUCUUUCAAAUUCAUGAAAUGGACGGGACAAUAAAUCACUAAAACAAAGUUAGGAGUCUAAUAAACUUUCAACAACUUCAAGAGAAUAACUGUAUAUAGGCAACAACUAGUCUAGAUUGAUGAAAUUAAGGGAAUGAGCAACUUAACCAUCAAUAUAAAUUCAAAAUAUGUGUGUACAGGAUAUGAAAUGAAAAAUGUAUGCUGAUUAAGAUGUUAAAAAAAAACAACUAUAUAUUUUGACGUAUAAGUUUUUGAAAAGGCCAUCUUAAAAUGUUUUAUAAAGAAACAACAAUAAUCUAUUGUCCAAUAAAGUAACUGCAUAAGAAUUAAAAUCUAAUAGGAUAAAAUGCCUAUCAUGCUGAAUUGCUGACAUUUCAUUGAUAAAGCGAAACAUAAGAUAUGUUCUUAACAAUAUUACUAAAAAUGUAUCCUCAUCUGCUGAACAAAAGAGCAAUUUAUCCAAUUAGAUAGAGAAAAAUCAAGCAUCUUAACAGGUGGUUUUUAAAUUGACUAGUCUAGGAAUUGUCUAGGAACUAACAAAAACAGCAUUUUAAGCAAGUUUUACUGUAUUUUUGAGAUAUUUGUCAACUUUAUUGAAUAUUUUUUGAUUUCUUUUAUUGAUGUAUAAUGUAUAUGAUAUAGAAGUCCCAAAUAAAAUGAAUGGUAUUAUCAAGAAGUUGUUCAAGUAGGAUGAUUUAGUUUUUCCAGUAAUAUGUUAUAAUAUUAUAUUUUAAAAUUAAGCAUUCUAAUCAAUAGGCAUACAAAUAUACAAUACUUUCACAUACUUCUCACAAAGUAAAUGUCUAAGGUUGUCAAAACACUAUAUAGAGACUAGAUUAUGUAUACAUCAACUUAUAAUUAUUCUUUAUUGAAUAUGUCUUCAUCAACUUCAGUUGACAGUACUAACAAUAAAAAAUAUUGCUAUGAUAGUCGUGAAAAUAAGUUUAACUUUAUUAAAAAAAAAAAAAUCAUUUUAUAUUUGUUCAAAUCUAUGACUUC